rnacentral:lncRNA from 1 species
AUGACCAGCAAACUGAGCCAAGCCAUGUCAGCAGAGCGGGGAGCGGGAGAGCCAGAAGCUGAUAGGCCAGGAGGCCAGGAGACCUAAAAGGGCCCCCAAAAGCAAAAGAUCACAUAGCCAAAAUGGCUGGGUUAUAUAGGGAAGAGCAGCUGGUGGAAGGGCAACCCUGCCCAGUCCCUGGGGCUGGAGAAGUUUAAGGGAGUGUGGGAUAUGGCAGCCGCAGGACCCUGUAACAGUCAUCGAGAGCUCGAAGGCAGGAGUAUCAAGAUCACAGAAUAUUUAAUAAACAAAAACAGCUUACGUGGUUGUUGAGUGGGGAUGGCUUCAAAUCCCCCAUCAAUUCGCUCUUCCAAAAACACUGAUAUUUGGAUGUUGUACUGGCUGGUUUUGUGUGUCAACUUGACACAAGCUGGAGUUAUCACAGAGAAAGGAGCUUCAGCUUCUGCCUCCAGGUUCCUGCCCCAUGUGAGUUCCAGUCCUGACUUCCUUUGGUGAUGAACAGCAGUGUGGAAGUGUAAGCUGAAUAAACCCUUUCCUCCCUAA